rnacentral:ncRNA from 1 species
CCCGUGAGGACGCCCUUCUUUCUCACCAGUUAAGGAGCCGGUAUCAGGCACUAAAAUUUGCCCACUACACCUAGUCCCACCACACCCACAAGGGCCACAGCAGUGAUAAACAUUGUUCAUAAGCGACAGCUUGAUCCAGUUACAGAAAAAAGAGCUGGCUAACUCGGUGCCAGCCGCCGCGGCUAAACCGCACGAGCUCAAGUUGAUAGGUAUCGGCGUUAAGCGUGAUUAAAGACUUCUAAAAUUAGAAUAAAACUAACACUUAGCUGUGACAAGCUUGUUAACUAAGAAAAACAAAAACGAAAGUUAUUCUAAUACACUUGAAUCCACGACAGUUGAGAAACAAACUGGGAUUAGAUACCCCACUAUGCCCAACCGUAAAAUAUAAACUUACACCACAAACGCCAGGGAAUUACGAGCCUAGCUUAAAACCCAAAGGACUUGACGGUGUCCCACCCAACUAGAGGAGCCUGUUCUAUAAUCGAUAACCCCCGAUUUACCCAACCCUAUUUUGCCAUCCAGCCUGUAUACCUCCGUCGUAAGCUUACCAUAUGAAUGUCUUACAGUAAGUUUAAUGAUCUCUCAUCAAUACGUCAGGUCAAGGUGCAGCUCAUGAUAGGGAAAGAAAUGGGCUACAAUUUCUAAAUUAGAACAUACGAAAUGCUACAUGAAACACAGCCACGAAGGCGGAUUUAGUAGUAAAAGGAGAAUAAUGCGCUCCUUUUAACAAGGCCCUGGGACGUGUACACACCGCCCGUCACCCUCUUCAACAACCCAAAAACGUUUAUAACAACUCACACCCCUUUUAGAAGAGGCAAGUCGUAACAUGGUAAGUGUACCGGAAGGUGCACUUGGACAAA